UACGGGGGGGGGGCAAGCGUUGUUCGGAAUUACUGGGCGUAAAGGGCUCGUAGGCGGCCCAACUAAGUCAUACGUGAAAUCCCCCCGGCUUAACCGGGGGAACUGCGUCUGAUACUGGAUGGCUUGAGUUCGGGAGAGGGAUGCGGAAUUCCAGGUGUAGCGGUGAAAAUGCGUAGAUAUCUGGAGGAACACCGGUGGCGAAGGCGGCAUCCUGGACCGAUACUGACGCUGAGGAGCGAAAAGCCAGGGGGAGCAAAACGGG
rnacentral:rRNA from 1 species